rnacentral:rRNA from 1 species
CACGUAGGGGACGAGCGUUGUCCGGAUUCAUUGGGCGUAAAGCGCGUGUAGGCGGCCAGAUAGGUCUGCUGUGAAAACUCGAGGCUCAACCUCGAGCUGUCGGCGGAAACCAUCUGGCUAGAGUCCGGAAGAGGAGAGUGGAAUUCCUGGUGUAGCGGUGAAAUGCGCAGAUAUCAGGAAGAACACCUAUGGCGAAGGCAGCUCUCUGGGACGGUACUGACGCUGAGACGCGAAAGCGUGGGGAGCGAACAGG